rnacentral:ncRNA from 1 species
CGCGGGAAAGCCGAAAACCGUGAAAAGAGUAGGCU